GAUGAACGCUGGCGGCGUGCCUAAUACAUGCAAGUCGAACGAAACUUCUUUAUCACCGAGUGCUUGCACUCACCGAUAAAGAGUUGAGUGGCGAACGGGUGAGUAACACGUGGGCAACCUGCCCCAAAGAGGGGGAUAACACUUGGAAACAGGUGCUAAUACCGCAUAACCAUAGUUACCGCAUGGUAACUAUGUAAAAGGUUGCUAUACUACCGCUUUUGGAUGGGCCCGCGGCUCAUUAGCUAGUUGGUAGGGUAAAGGCUUACCAAGGCAAUGAUGCGUAGCCGAAUUGAGAGGUUGAUCGGCCACAUUGGGACUGAGACACGGCCCAAACUCCUACGGGAGGCAGCAGUAGGGAAUCUUCCACAAUGGGCGAAAGCCUGAUGGAGCAACGCCGCGUGGGUGAAGAAGGUCUUCGGAUCGUAAAACCCUGUUGUUAGAGAAGAAAGUGCGUGAGAGUAACUGUUCACGUUUCGACGGUAUCUAACCAGAAAGCCACGGCUAACUACGUG
rnacentral:rRNA from 1 species